GCAAGUCGAGCGCUACCUUCGGGUGGAGCGGCGGACGGGUUAGUAACGCGUGGGAAUAUACCCAGUUCUAAGGAAUAGCCACUGGAAACGGUGAGUAAUACCUUAUACGCCCUUUGGGGGAAAGAUUUAUCGGAGAAGGAUUAGCCCGCGUUGGAUUAGGUAGUUGGUGAGGUAACGGCUCACCAAGCCUACGAUCCAUAGCUGGUUUGAGAGGAUGAUC
rnacentral:rRNA from 1 species